ACUAAGGAUUUAUGAAUAUAAAGCCACCUUAAUGGUGGGGGGUUUGGCAUAGACCCCUACCAGUUUAUUAAUUUAAAUCAAAAUGGUACAUGAAGGGAGGUUUGGACCUUGGUCUGACCUCCAGAAAACAAUAAGAAAGGGCCGAGGUUUGGACCUUAGUCUGACCUCCAGAAUACAAUAAAAAUGUACAAUUAUAAAAAAUUAAGAAAUCUUACUAAUCAUCAGAAAUUCAGUGAAUCAGUAUUCACUCUUCAGUCUUCAGUAGUGUUUGUAUCAUCAUCAUCAGAGGAUGUUGUAUUAUGUCCACCUUUAUCUUGAAGUCUUGCCUCAGCAUCCAACCAAUCUUUGAAGCAGAGAAGCAUCUCCACCGUUUCGCCCAUCAUCCUACUUCUCUUUUCGUCAAGAACACGCCGACCUGCACUAAAAGCGGA
rnacentral:lncRNA from 1 species